rnacentral:rRNA from 1 species
UGGGUAACCUGCCCAAGAGAUCGGGAUAACACCUGGAAACAGAUGCUAAUACCGGAUAACAACAGAUGAUGCCUAUCAACUGUUUAAAAGAUGGUUCUGCUAUCACUCUUGGAUGGACCUGCGGUGCAUUAGCUAGUUGGUAGGGUAACGGCCUACCAAGGCGAUGAUGCAUAGCCGAGUUGAGAGACUUAUCGGCCACAUUGGGACUGAGGCACGGCCCAAACUCCUACGGGAGGCAGCAGUA